rnacentral:lncRNA from 1 species
AGAAUUUUUUUAUUUUCUUUCUUAAAACUCCAACCAAAUAAGAGGCCCGGUCCCUCUCUACUUCCCAGGUAGUGCCUCUUCCUCCCUCCACUUCUUGCGAACCAAACGGAUCUUUAGUGUCUGCUUUGUAUAUGGAAAAUGGUGGAAUUGUGUGGAAAAAGAUGUGGAAGAGUAUGAGUAGUGGGAAGAGAGAGAGAGAGUUAGAGGUCUCAUUUUUGUUGAGGUGUGAGGAAGUUUUCUUAUAUGGCUCAAUUAUCUUUUAAAGAGAUCAUC